rnacentral:hammerhead_ribozyme from 1 species
AUUCAGCUGAUGAGUCCCAAAUAGAACGAAACGUGUGUCCUGGAU